CGUCACAUGUCCUAUUUUUCCGGUGUAUCUUGACUCGCAGGUCACUGACGGCUGUGCUGCUUUGAAUGUAAGGUACACCAUCUUCAAGGACCAUGUCACGCUGAGAGACUAUGAAAUCCAUGAUGGCAUGAACUUGGAGCUCUAUUACCAGUGAGAAGACAAUG